ACUGGUCACCCCUCAGGCCACGAUGGAGGCUGCAGCGGACAGGACAGGCGGGCAGGCCUCAGGAGGGGACUCGGGGAGGCUGGUGGGCCCAGCGCCGCCACGAGGAGCUGGGUGCAUGCCUGGCCCAAGGAGGCAGCCCUGUGGCCUGUGCAGGCCUGGGUGGCAUCAGCCCCCUGUACCAGCAAGGCAGCUCCAAUUGUCCAGAAGAGCAGUGGCCAUCAGUGCCCAGGGGAUGACGAACUCCCCUGUGAUAGGCCCCCCAGAAGAGAAGGCCAACCCACCUGAAGACACAGGCCAUGUGGGGCUCCCGGGAGCUGCUUCUGGUGUGGUUUCUAGUGUUGGCAGUCGGGGGCACUGAGCACGUCUACCGGCCCAGCCGCAGGGUGUGUACUGUGGGGGCUGCCAGGGGCCCCGUGUCAGAGUCCUUCGUGCAGCGCGUGUACCAGCCCUUCCUCACCACCUGUGCUGGGCACCGAGCCUGCAGCACCUACAGAACCAUCUACCGGACAGCCUACCGCCAGAACCCCGAGCUGACCCCUGCCAGGCCUCGCUAUGCCUGCUGCCCUGGCUGGAAGAGGGCCAGUGGGCUCCCUGGGGCCUGCAGUACCGCAAUAUGCCACCCACCAUGUGGGAAUGGAGGGAGCUGUGUCCAGCCAGGCCGCUGCCACUGCUCAACAGGAUGGCAGGGAGACACCUGCCAAACAGAUGUGGACGAAUGCAGUACUGGAGGGGCCAGCUGUCCCCAGCACUGCAUCAACACCGCAGGCAGUUACUGGUGCCAGUGUUGGAAGGGGCACAGCCCAUCUGCAGAUGGAACGCUCUGUCUGCCCAAGGGAGGGCCCCCUAGGCUGACCGUGAACCCCAUGACAGGUAAACUUGCUCCCCACUCCACCCUGUGCGUGGUCUGGGGCGGUGGGCAGAUGGUGGACAUCCAGGGCCCUGUGGGUGUGGGCACUGAGGGCAGCCAGCCCUGGGUGGAGAUUGACACAUGGGAAGGCCUGAGCCCCGGCAUUCUGGGCUGGCAGGUGGCUAACAUCUUGGCAGAAGGUGGCAGAAGCCUCUUUUCCCUGGGGAGGUUUCUGGAAGACACUGUAGGGAGGGCUAUCCAGGGGCCUCAUGUCAGCCAAGCAAGUGGAAGAAGGCCCCCAUCCUUGGGGCCCAGCAGUCUGGAGAGAUGGCAGACCUUUGCUGGUGACGGGCCAUUAUUACUUUUGGUACGCGCUGUGACACUUCAAACUCGUACCGUGAGUAAUAAUGCGUUGUCAGCAGCCCAGCACGAGGAGCACGUCAGAUCUCGGCGAGGACCACCAUCAGCAAGGUGGGGCCUGGGACCCCAGAACCAAGGGGUACUUUGGGUCCACCAAGAGCCAUGUGCAUCAGUGUGCCAAGGUGUCAGGACCUGGAGACUUCCAGGACAGUCCCAGGUGGACAGUUGGGUUAUCAGAGGCCUGUGUCUUCUGGGCUCUACCCCCACAGCUGGAGCUGUGGGAUAAGAGGCUGCCUUGAGGGUGGGGUGGGAAAAUGCCCUUCCCUGACCCAGUGCCUGGAUCUGCCCCCAGGAGAGGACAAUGUGGUGAGGGAGGAGAUGCAGAGGCUGCAGUCCCGGGUAGACAUGCUGGAGCAGAAGCUGCAGCUGGUGCUGGACCCACUGCAAAGCCUGGCCUCAAGGGCCUUGGAGCAUGGG